rnacentral:lncRNA from 1 species
GACUAGAUUUGCAUGCUUAAUCUACCAAUAAGUAUGACAUGUUCUUAUAAUCAUACCCUUAACCUACUUGCACUGAUAGAGGUAAUCGUGACAAAAUCUUUCUUAUGUAAGGUGGGGGAUUUCGGAUCCAGACCGAAGGUGUGAUUUAAAUAUACUUUUUAGUAGGAUCAUAUUUGUGUUGCUUUGCUAUCCAUGCUCAUAAUUACAACAUAUGCAUAGUCUAGGUUGCUUUAGAUUUGUUAACUUUGCUCUAUCUUGUUAUCUGUCUGACAUGCUUAGUAGAUUGGAUCUGAAUCUCUUAUAAACAUCAAGUUAAUACUAACAAUGCUAGUUAAAAUAGAUCUUGUGCUAUAAGUUUCAUGGAUUGAUAAACCUUGGGAGAAUAUUCUGAAAGAAAAACUAUAACUGAUCUGUAUGUUUGCAGUUCACAACUUAGCGUGCUAACUGCCGUCAACACUUGUAGUGUCAAAUAAGGAAUUUCCUUUUUCUUUUUGAACACAAACAUCCGUGUGCAGUAGUAAUAAUGUGCCAUUUAAUUGAUGAACCAAGAAACAUUGACAUAAUCUUUCCGACAUCUUAUUUCACUGUAGCAUCGUGGAGAGUGGUACGUAGGAUGGUAGCAAGACAUGCAUAAUUGCAUAGAACGAGCAAUGCACGUGAAGCAUACUCCCUCCAUCCUGAAAUAUAAAGCAUUCUAGGAUUUUUAGGAUAU